rfam:Frondihabitans sp. PAMC28766, complete genome.
GGCGGGAUAGCUCAGUCGGAAGAGCACACGACUCAUAAUCGUGCGGUCGCGGGUUCAAGUCCCGCUCCCGCUA